ensembl:lncRNA
CUGCCAGCUUCUCCAGGAGAAUACUGUGGGAGACAGCGUCAAAGGCUUUGCUGAAGUCUAGGUAGACUAUGUCAAGAGCCUUUCCCUCAUCCACCAGGAUGGUCACUAGAUAGAAGGAGAUCAGGUUGGUCAAGCAGGACCUGCCUUUCAGGAACCCAUGCUGGCUGGGCCUGAUCUCCCAGUUGUCUCACACGUGCCAUAUGAUCUCCCUCAAGAUGAUCUACUCCAUGACCUUUCCUGGCACUGAGGUCAGGCUGACAGCCUGUAGCUCCCUGGAUCCUCUUUAUGGCCCUUCUUGUAGAUGGGAGUCACAUCAGCAAGCCUCCAAUCUUCUGGGAUCUCCCUGGUUCACCAAGAACACUGAUAGAUGGUAGAAAGAGGCUUGGCAAUUACCUCCACCAGUUUCCUCAGCACCCUAGGGUGGAUCCCAUCUGGCACAAUGGACUUGUGGCAGUCCAGGUACAGUAGCAGGUCUCUAACUGUGUCCACCUGAAUCAUAGGGGGUUUAUUCUGCUCCCCAUCCAAGACUCCCAAGUCAGGGGGAAGAGGAUAAAACCAGGCCUGCUAGAGAUGAGCCUGGGGGAGCAAUAAUGGGAUUAGGGGUGAGGUGAGGGGCCCAGCUAAAGUGUGUCUAUACCAAUGCACGCAGCAUGGGCAACAAACAAGAAGAGUUGGAAGCCAUUGUGCGGCAGGCAAGCUAUGACCUAGUUGCCAUUACAGAAAUGUGGUGGGACCACUCCCAUGACUGGAGUGCUGCAGUGGAUGGCUACAAACUCUUCAGGAAGGAUAGGCAAGGAAGGAGGGGCGGUGGCGUGGCUCUCUAUGUUAAAGAGUGCUUUGAGGUUACUGAGCUUAUGACUGGGAUGAUAAGGUUGAAUCCUUAUGGGCUAAGAUUAGGGGAAGAGCUGACAAGGCAGACAUCCUGGUGGGCAUCUGUUAUAGACCACCGAGCCAGGAUGAAGAGACAGAUGAGGUGUUCUAUGAGCAGCUGGCGGAAGCUGUGUGAUCGCCAGCCCUUGUCCUCAUGGGGGACUUCAACUUCCCUGACAUAUGCUGGGAAUACAAUUUGCGCAGAAGCAGCAGUCUAGAAGGUUUCUGGAAUGUAUGGAGGACAACUUCUUGAUGCAGCUGGUAAGAGAACCUACGAGAGGAGCUGCCCAUUAGACCUGCUGUUCACAAACAGAGAAGGUCUAGUGGGAGAUGUGGAGGUCGGGGGCUGUCUUGGGCAGAGUGACCACGACAUGGUAGAGUUCUCGAUUCUUGGUGGAGUCAGGAGGGGGAACAGCAGAACUGCUACCUUGGACUUCCGGAGGGCAGACUUUGAAUUGUUCAGGAGACUAGUAGGGAGAGUCCCC